CUUCUCCUGAAAAACAUCCUCACUCGAAGGUAACGCUUUUAGACUUUUAGCUUGAAAUAAGAACUACAGAUUUUAUCGUGUGUAUGUUAUGUUUUAAUCAACUCUAAUCCAAACCCAUUCAGCCUCCAGUUGGAGUGACCAAUGUUCGUAAAAUAAAAGUUGGAACAAAGGAUUUGCCAACGUCCAGAUCAGAUCGCACAGCAGAGGGACCUCCAAGGCAGACAUCAGGAGAAACGGAGUCAAAGCAAGAUGUGCCCCAGAGACCUCCUUGGGCGAGUGGAUUAGGCAACUCUAAGAUGGCUAAACAAGAGGAUCCAAGAAAUAGAGGCAUAGAAGAGGCCACACGGGUAUGGAAAAUUGAAUAUUUCUAUGCAGUAUUACUCUGCAAGUAUAUAUCCCAGAUGGUCAAUUCCACACACUCUCUCUGAUGAGAAAUGAAUUGUAC
rnacentral:lncRNA from 1 species